rnacentral:lncRNA from 1 species
CUUUGUUUUGUGCUCAAGAAGAGCGAGCAGAAUAGGCUGAAUUAGAGCCAUCUGUUUAUGUAAGCAAGAGGCGUCUGGUGCUCUUUUCCUCUCCCUUCCUCUGAGGCAGAGUCCAGGGCAAAGAGUACCAUCGCAUACGAAAAGUGGUGCUUCCACAAAGAGGCAGUAGUAAGGUGAGAUGAGACCCUUGACUGCACAGAGCGGACAGUCCAGAGAGAUUCACCACAUGUAAGCAGGCAGCCCCCACACACAACGAGCAUAGCCAGGAUGAGAGGAAGACAGAUCUGUGGGAGCACCCAGGCCCGCUCCCUAAUCCAGACUUACAGGACGGAUGCUGCUCUGAGACCAAAGCUUAGCUAAAAUACAGAGUGGAGAGAGAAAAGAGAAGAGAAUAAAUGUUGACAUCAUUGGAAACUGCCUCAGGCUGCAGCUAACAUUCCUGGUCCUUCCAUCAUUUGUUUAACCUGUGGAAGUCGGGUUUCUAUCAUUUGCAAAGGUCCUUUUAAACCCGCAGCCCUCAUCAUCUUACGAUGGAGUUGUCACAGAAAAACCAAACAACACAUGAGGCACAUUAUUGGCUUCCACUUUAAUAUAACAAAACCCAGACACAACCAAUUUACAACUACUCUGGGAACAAUUGCCGCUGAGAGAGAACUGAAAACUGGAUAAAAAGAACUCCCACAACAAGGGACAGUCCUGACUGCGGUGGAAGAGGCAGAAAUUCCUUUCUGGAGAGGAAAAAAGCCACUUUCAUGAGCUGCAGAGCUUCACGGCCAGCUGGGAGCAAUCCUAAGGGUAUAUUUUCACACUGCAGGCCAAGCCUCAACAAUAACUCCACCAGGAUUUAGAAAACUGGAUAGAUUCUAGAGAACUCUUUUUGAAAUGCUGAGUAAACCAAAAAUUAACUGCCAGGCUGUUUUCCAAGUUGGUGGCACCAUUCCACGUUCGCACCAGCUGUGUUUGAAGGUCCUCUACCUGCACACCGGCACUCGCCAUGAAAACUUUUCAGUUACUCAACAGAUGUUUAUUGAAAAUCUGUCUGCAAUAACUGCGAAGGGUCUGAAUUCACCGUACUCGCAAACUAACAAGUUUUGUGGAUGCUGGCAGAAGACGAGACUCCUGGGUCAGAGACAAAGACAUUUACUAUUUAUGGCACAGCAGGCAGUGUGGGCAUCACCAUAUUGGCAGCAGCUCCCCUCCUCCCCAAGUGCCAUGGAGGUGACAGGGAUGGGGUCAGACGAAUGCGUUCCCCCACAGUGGGCCGCAUUAUGAGGAGGAGACUCUGAGCUUAGACAUCCUGAGUCUUCUGCAGUGCACAGGAGCCCGCCUGCCCUUUCCUCUGGAGGGAGACUAUCUCUGUUCUUCAAGGCCGUUCACUCUUCAGACAUCCCUGAAAAGACAGUCUAGAAUUUCGUUCCACUAGUGCCUCACUCACAAAAUGUUUAGAAAUGGGACAGACCCGUGGAGAAUUGUCUCCCAGUAUUAUUUGAGCCUACCAUUAUAAGAAUCCUGUUAAGCAUGUAAGAAUAAGCUAAUUUAUCAAAAUGUGCAUUUUCUUAUAUGAUUUUGUGAAACCUGAGAUACACUGAUACAUAACACUAAUUUCAUUACUUCACCAAAGAAUAUCAGAUGUCAGUGCCUUUUUGAUGUCAAUUUUUGAUGGUUGGUUUGUGAGACAGAGAGAGACAAGAGAAAGCAUAUUUCAUUCACUUUGUCAGCUUCAAUUCUGUUCUUCAUCCUAAGCCAUUGCAAACUUCCCCAGAACUUUCCCCUCUUCUCUUACUACUCCAGAGGGAAAAAGAAAGCACUUACUGGGUGUCAACUUCUGUGCUAGGCAUUGUAAUGUGUGCUCUUUCUUCUCUUUUCUUAAUGGUCUAACCACUCUCUCCAGCUCCAAACCCCAUACUCAAGAUAUAAACCUGAGGGUUAUGCAGAAUCUUAGAUUUAGCAAAAACCACAUAUCGUUCCCCAUCCCACAGCACAAAACCUCUGACUCAAGCAGAUUUUUACUGACUAGACACUGGGGAACAAUGAAAGUUUAGCCAAGCAUCAUCUUUCUGGUUUGCAAACAUCCUCACAAAUGAGAUCCAAAACGAAAAGAUGGAAGUAAUUCAUUCUCUCUGUCCUUUAUCUUUAUACUGUGAUGAAUAUAUCAAUGGGAACUCUCGAAAUCCAUCUGUUUUCGUUUUCUUAAGGAACAGAUACAAACAGUUCUUCUAAGUACAGCUUAAAUUUUACAUUAAAAAAAAGGCAGCCUAAUGGAUUGACAAGAACAUGAGCUUUAUGGAUGGGCAGGAUCUAAUUUCCAAACUUCCGCACUCCAUUCCUUUUAGUCUCUUUUCCAAGUCUAGGACAAAACAUAUUUCUCAAUAACUGAAUUUAGAUUAUUCUAACAAUACUGAAAUAAUUAUUUAAAAGGAAGACUCAUUAUCCAAACCUUUUACUUAAUUUUUUUAAUCAAAUUGAUAAGUUCAUUUGUGGUUAUAGCAUUGUUUAAACUUAUCCA